rnacentral:snoRNA from 1 species
GGAAAUGAGGAUUGUUGUUUUGACACCCAGUCUUACUUCCAUCUCCGGAUGGAAGCUGGUGAUAAUAUCGACUUAUAUCUGAUCC